GGCGGACGGGUGAGUAAUGCCUAGGAAAUUGCCCUGAUGUGGGGGAUAACCAUUGGAAACGAUGGCUAAUACCGCAUAAUGCCUACGGGCCAAAGAGGGGGACCUUCGGGCCUCUCGCGUCAGGAUAUGCCUAGGUGGGAUUAGCUAGUUGGUGAGGUAAGGGCUCACCAAGGCGACGAUCCCUAGCUGGUCUGAGAGGAUGAUCAGCCACACUGGAACUGAGACACGGUCCAGACUCCUACGGGAGGCAGCAGUGGGGAAUAUUGCACAAUGGGCGCAAGCCUGAUGCAGCCAUGCCGCGUGUGUGAAGAAGGCCUUCGGGUUGUAAAGCACUUUCAGUCGUGAGGAAGGUAGUGUAGUUAAUAGCUGCAUUAUUUGACGUUAGCGACAGAAUAAGCACCGGCUAACUCCGUGCCAG
rnacentral:rRNA from 1 species